UUUACAGAUCGGUCAAUCCGACCGCUUUUUCCAGCCGGCUACUGUUACGAUACACAGAUCAUUUGUAAUCUUCUAGCUGUAGAUGAUGCCUACAGUCCUGAGGUACAGGCAAUUAAUGCAGCUUCCGCAGCUCUUGCAUUAUCAGACAUUCCAUGGAAUGGACC